rnacentral:rRNA from 1 species
UACGGGGGGGGCAAGCGUUGUUCGGAAUUACUGGGCGUAAAGGGUUUGUAGGUGGCUUGUUAAGUCAGACGUGAAAUCCCUCAGCUUAACUGGGGAACUGCGUCCAAGACUGGGAGGCUUGAAUCCGGGAGAGGGAUGCGGAAUUCCAGGUGUAGCGGUGAAAUGCGUAGAUAUCUGGAGGAACACCGGUGGCGAAGGCGGCAUCCUGGACCGGUAUUGACACUGAGGCGCGAAAGCCAGGGGAGCAAACGGG